CAACGUGGAGUAAUCGCCAAGCUGGCUGGCUACCCGGAUCACAUGAUUACAUAGAAACAUGAAACUUGACUAUGUGCUCGGGCAAGUUUUACUUCUCCCUAGAGCAGGGGUGUUUGCCGGUAGCCUGCACUCUCAGAAACCCGACUCGAGUAGCCAGCACGCUUGAGACCACAGGCUUGCCAUGCUGUUCCCUAGCAGGGCCAGGAGCUGCUGACGUUACCGCUGGACAGGCUCUUACAAUCACCAAACGGAAUGGACAAGCUUAAUAAAAUAACUGUCCCUGCCAGUCAGAAGCUGAGGCAGCUUCAGAAGAUGGUCCAUGAUAUUAAGAACAAUGAAGGUGGAAUAAUGAACAAAAUCAAAAAGCUGAAAGUCAAAGCUCCUCCAAGUGUUCCCCAAAGGGACUAUGCUUCAGAGAGCCCCGAGGACGAAGAGGAGCAGUGGUCGGAUGACUUUGACAGCGACUACGAAAAUCCAGACGAGCACUCGGACUCGGAGAUGUAUGUGAUGCCCGCCGAGGAGAACGCCGACGACAGCUAUGAGCCACCCCCUGCCGAGCAGGAGACCAGGACGGUCCACCCAGCCCUGCCCUUCGCCAGGGGCGAGUACGUAGACAACCGAUCAAGCCAGAGACAGUCUCCACCCUUCAGCAAGACGCUUCCCAGCAAGCCCAGCUGGCCUUCAGCCAAAGCAAGGCUCAUCUCCACCCUGCCGGCCCCCCCUUCUCUGCAGAAACCUCAAGUCCCGCCCAAGCCCAAAGGCCUCCCUGAAGACGAGGCUGAUUAUGUGGUUCCUGUGGAAGAUAACGAUGAAAACUAUAUUCAUCCCACAGAAAGCAGUUCACCUCCAUCUGAAAAAGCUCCCGUGGUGAAUAGAUCAAUCAAGCCGAAUAACUCCUCAAAGCCAGCCUCUCCUCCAGGAACGGUUUCAGGUCGAAACAGCGGGGCCUGGGAAACCAAGUCAUCUUCACCUGCUGCACCAUCCCCACUGCCGAGGGCCAGGAAAAAACCAGCUACACCACUGAAGACAACUCCAGUUGCCUCUCAACAGAAUGCAUCAAGUGUUUGUGAAGAAAAACCUAUACCUGCUGAACGCCACCGAGGGUCUAGUCACAGACAAGAAGCUGCGCAGUCACCAGUGUUUCCUCCUGCCCAGAAACACAUGCACCAAAAACCCGUACCUCUGCCAAGAUUUCCAGAAGGGGGAAGCUCAACUGUGGAUGGGCCAUUACCCAGCUUUUCACCUAAUUCCACUAUUUCAGAACAGGAAGCUGACGUCCACUGUAAGCCAUGGUAUGCUGGUGCCUGCGACCGAAAGUCUGCUGAAGAGGCAUUACACAGAUCAAACAAGGAUGGAUCAUUUCUUAUUCGGAAAAGCUCUGGCCAUGAUUCCAAACAGCCAUAUACACUAGUUGUAUUCUUUAAUAAGCGAGUAUAUAAUAUACCUGUGCGAUUUAUUGAAGCAACAAAACAAUAUGCUUUAGGCAGAAAGAAAAAUGGUGAAGAGGUCAGUAAUUUCUCCUUUAAUCAACUCUACAACUAUGCAUUGAGCACAAUGGCAUCAUACUGUAUUAGGUGCUAGAGAUGAGGAAAAAGGAUCCAAAGGUAUUUGGUCUUAUGCUUGCAUAAAUGUCAUAAAUAGAGACUAUGAUAAACACUAUAUUUGGGCAACAUAUCCUUUGAGAAACAGAAAAGGAAAAAAUGAUGUACAUCUUAGUCCUUUCCUCCACUUACUUAAUAAGGUCAAUCUGACUUAAGAUUUCAGUCCAGAGACACACAUCAAGGUUGAAUGUCAACCUUGAUUGAACCUUCAAUCAAGGUUGAAAUGUCAAAUAGAAUUAAGAUUGUCAGAAUCAAGGUCAGGGUCCAGAGCUCCAAAGUCAAGACCUAGAAUCUCAACUCAGGUACCGAGGUAGGCGGUGACCAGGGAAGGAUCUGGAAGAGAUGCAGAAACUUGAGUUAAAACAUUAGAUGAUAACUCUUGUACCAGAGUGAGCUUAUGGGCCUGCAGCAAGAAAAAAACAUCAAUCAUAUGAGUCUUAAAUAUUGACUGAACAUGAACUUUAAUGACUCUUUAAACUGGACCAAACUCAAUGCUUACCAUAUCUCAGAUUAUCCAGCCUGUUUGUAUAAAUGAACCCUGAAAUAUGAGCUGGAGUGACAGAUGAAAGACUCAGAAAGGGAGUGAUACUUGUUCUGCUUUUGAAUUAUGAGUUGAAUUUGAAUAAAUAGAAUGAAAGCUGGAGGGAAGGAGAAGGAGAAAACUGGAAAGAACAAUCUAAAGCAGAGAAAAUAGCAUAAACAAAGUUCAGGGUAAGAAAUAUUUAUUUUCAGUGUUCCUUCAGAAAAAGCCACACCAUUCCAAACCCAGAACUUGUUCAGUGUUUGAAAUGUUAAAAGGUGUCAUAAUUGCUGAAGUGUCUGUCUUCUCUACUAGAUGAGCCCAGGGACUAUGUCUUGUUCAUAUCCGUAUUUCCAGAACCAGAGCACAGUGGCUGGCUACAGUGGACACUUGAUUAAUACUUACUGAAUGAAUACACUGAUCUGAUCGAAUGAUUACAGACAGGAGCAUAGCAUUUGUAAAACAAACUGAAAAGGUCUCGUGUGUUCUUGUGGUCUUGAUUUUGCUUCUGAAAAAAAUUAUGUACUUUGGAAGUGUUGCCGAAAUCAUCAAGAAUCAUCAACAUAGUCCCCUGAUUCUUAUUGACAGUCAGAAUAACACAAAAGAUUCCAC